rnacentral:rRNA from 1 species
AGCAGCCGCGGUAAUUCCAGCUCCAAUAGCGUAUAUUAAAGUUGUUGCAGUUAAAAAGCUCGUAGUUGAAUUUCGGGGUUCUUCCGUUGGUCGGGCUAUCCAGUCUGCACUAGCGUGUAGAAUUCCUACCUUCUGGGGAACCAUCAUGUUAUUAAUUUAGCGUGGUGGGAAACCAGGACCUUUACCUUGAAAAAAUUAGAGUGUUCAAAGCAGGCUUACGUCUGAAUACAUUAGCAUGGAAUAAUAGAAUAGGACGGUGGUCCUGUUUUGUUGGUUCUGAAUCACCGUAAUGAUUGAUAGGGAUAGUUGGGGGCAUUAGUAUUCAAUUGUCAGAGGUGAAAUUCUUGGAUUUGUUGAAGACUAACUUCUGCGAAAGCAUUUGCCAAGGAUGUUUUCAUUAAUCAAGAACGAAAGUUAGGGGAUCGAAGACGAUCAGAUACCGUCGUAGUCUUAACCAUAAACUAUGCCGACUAGGGAUCGGACGAUGUUAAAUUUUAUGACUCGUUCGGCGCCUUACGGG